CCGGCACGGGUGAGUAACACGUAUCCAACCUGCCGUCUACUCUUGGCCAGUCUUCUGAAAGGAAGAUUAAUCCAGGAUGGCAUCAUGAGUUCACAUGUCCGCAUGAUUAAAGGUAUUUUCCGGUAGACGAUGGGGAUGCGUUCCAUUAGAUAGUAGGCGGGGUAACGGCCCACCUAGUCAACGAUGGAUAGGGGUUCUGAGAGGAAGGUCCCCCACAUUGGAACUGAGACACGGUCCAA
rnacentral:rRNA from 1 species